UGUCCGGGCUCACAGGUACCGACUCCUUCCACCUGGGGCUUCAUCCACGGGGCUCAGGUGCUCCAGGUGGAUACACCACACCUGUCCAGGUGUUGCAGGUGAAGCUUUUGGGGUCCUCCUGAGAUUUUUCAGGUCCACACCUGUGCAGGUGCGCAUUUCUGGGGUUUCCACACGUGGGGCUCAGGUGUCGCAGUCCAGGUGUUACCCCCACACCUUUUUGGGGUCCAAACUCAAUGUUUGGGGUCCACACCUGUCCAGGUGUUCCUGCAACACCUUUUUGGGGUCCACAGGGGAUUUUUGGGGUCCACACCUGUCCAGGUGUGCAGAUCUGUGGCUCCUAAACAUGGAGCUCAGGUGUCACUGUCCAGGUGUUGCAGGUGAAGCUUUUUGGGGUCCACACCUGUCCUGAGAUGGAGUUCUGGGGUUUCCACACCUGGGGCUCAGGUGUCGCUGUCCAGGUGUUCCUGCCACACCUUUUUGGGGUCCAAAUGCAAUUUUUGGGUUCACACCUGUCUGGGCUCACAGGUACCGACUCCUCUCACCUGGGGCUUCAUCCACGGGGCUCAGGUGCUCCAGGUGGAUACACCACACCUGUCCAGGUGUUGCAGGUGAAGCUUUUGGGUUCUUC
rnacentral:lncRNA from 1 species